AACGAACGCUGGCGGCGUGCCUAACACAUGCAAGUCGAACGAGAAAGGGAUCUUCGGAUCCUGAGUAGAGUGGCGCACGGGUGAGUAACACGUGGAUAAUCUGCCUGAUAAUCUGGGAUAACAUUCCGAAAGGAAUGCUAAUACCGGAUAAGCCCACAGUAUCUUCGGAUGCAGCGGGAAAAGAUGGCCUCUUCUUGAAAGCUAUUGUUAUCAGAUGAGUCCGCGGUCCAUUAGCUAGUUGGUGGGUAAUGGCCUACCAAGGCGACGAUGGAUAGCUGGUUUGAGAGAAUGAUCAGCCACACUGGAACUGAGACACGGUCCAGACUCC
rnacentral:rRNA from 1 species